AGAUACGACCAUACUAGCACUAAUCCACUGAUCCCAUCAGAACUCCGGAGAUAAGCGUGCUUGGACGAGAGUAGUACUAGAGUGGGUGAAUUCUUGAGAAGUCCUCGUAUUGCGACUU
rnacentral:rRNA from 1 species